ACAGAUUCGGCGAUGCUCUAUAUGCUUACGGUAAAUCGCGUGUUUCCACUUGUACCGUGCGUCACCGUACAGCACCACCAGAGACCUUUGGGAGGGACCGAAGAACAAAUGUGUUUCUAAAGUCAAACCUGUUUCUUUCGGCCAGACUGUGAUGGUUUCCAGUCAUCUCGAUCCAUCAGUUCAACUAUCUCAGAUUCUUCAUCUUCGCUAAUGAACUCCUCCAUCAGAAACACCCCUGGAAAUGGAAAUGCCCAGCCAGCAAAUUCUGAGUGCUCAUUUCCUUUAGCUAGGCCUGUUGCUGGACAGUAAGUGAAAUUAUCUUCUCCCUGUGGAAAAACAAUGGAGAAGAAAAAAAAGCAGUGAGGGGAAAACCUAUCACAAUAAGGUAUUUCCAUGAUUUACCCCUGCAACCUUGAUGUCGCAGCAUGAAAACCGUCGGUACAGCAUUCUUGUAGACAUGAGAAAUUUUGCAGCUGCUUUUGGGGAACAACUUUUCCCUGCUUUUUUUUUUUUUACAGGUGCAGCAUUCCUGCGCUGCUUGCUUGGAGCCGCUUUUCUUUCCCAGUAAUGUCUUUAUCCUGCAAAGCUGGGGAAGAACAGAUGAUGCUCAGUGCCAAAUGUAUAAGGAGAUUAAUGGUUGGUAUUCCUCAGGCCGGCUGUAGAGAUAUGGUUUGUCAUAUCAAUAAAUGUUGAAUGAGGAAAGUUGAUAAAAAUC